rnacentral:rRNA from 1 species
CCGAGGAAGAGCUUGCGGCUGAUUAGCUUGUUGGUAAGGUAAUGGCUUACCAAGGCGACGAUCAGUAUCUGGUUUGAGAGGAUGAUCAGACACACUGGAACUGAGACACGGUCCAGACUCCUACGGGAGGCAGCAGUGGGGAAUUUUCCGCAAUGGGCGAAAGCCUGACGGAGCAAUCUCGCGUGAGGGAUGACGGCCUAUGGGUUGUAAACCUCUUUUUUCAGGGAGGAAUAAAUUGACGUGUACCUGAAGAAUAAGCAUCGGCUAACUCCGUGCCAGCAGCCGCGGUAAGACGGAGGAUGCAAGUGUUAUCCGGAAUCACUGGGCGUAAAGCGUCUGUAGGUGGUUUAAUAAGUCAACUGUUAAAUCUUGAAGCUCAACUUCAAAAUCGCAGUCGAAACUAUUAGACUAGGUUAUAGUAGGA